ensembl:ncRNA lncRNA:CR43970 long non-coding RNA:CR43970
ACUUGGUCUAAAGAGUUGGCCAAACUUUCCAUUGCGAAAUCGCAGCAGUCGGAGAACCAUGAAGCUGACUUGCCGAAAUGUGCAACAUAACUCAAUUAGUGGAACAAGAGCACUGUACAAAACAGUAGGUUGUCGAAAUGACGCCUCAGCGAGCAUGAAAUUGGCCAAAAGGCCAAUGGAUAUAGGCCAGGCCCUUUCAUAUAUCAGUUUUACCCCUGCUUAUUUAGACCAGCGACUUAUUGGACUUAUUUAGCUACCAAAACUCGAUGUUAAACGACUUUUUUAAGCGCCGUUCCAAGGUGAACGAGCCACCCUGAACAGGGUCGAACUGGACAGUGUAUCUGUAUCUGAAUCUGUAUUUGUAUCUGCAAGUUCACU